rnacentral:rRNA from 1 species
AGCGAACGCUGGCGGCAGGCCUAACACAUGCAAGUCGAACGGAUCCUUCGGGAUUAGUGGCGGACGGGUGAGUAACACGUGGGAACGUGCCCUUUGGUUCGGAACAACUCAGGGAAACUUGAGCUAAUACCGGAUGUGCCCUUCGGGGGAAAGAUUUAUCGCCAUUGGAGCGGCCCGCGUCUGAUUAGCUAGUUGGUGAGGUAAAGGCUCACCAAGGCGACGAUCAGUAGCUGGUCUGAGAGGAUGAUCAGCCACAUUGGGACCGAGACACGGCCCAAACUCCUACGGGAGGCAGCAGUGGGGAAUCUUGCGCAAUGGGCGAAAGCCUGACGCAGCCAUGCCGCGUGAAUGAUGACGGUCUUAGGAUUGUAAAAUUCUUACACCGGGGACGAUAAUGACGGUACCCGGAGAAGAAGCCCCGGCUAACUUCGUGCCAGCCGCCGCCGUAAUAC